GUCGUACAGGUUUCAGUUGGAGAACCAGCUGAAGGAUCAUUU
rnacentral:rRNA from 1 species